UUAAUUCAAAUUUGUAUGGAGUUGGAACGAUUGCCUACGUUUGCCAAUAGGGACGCUGUUCCAACUGCAUUUAAAUUUGAAUUA
rfam:Bombyx mori DNA, contig: Bm_scaf26_contig17140, strain: p50T/Dazao, build 2, whole genome shotgun sequence.